CAGAAGUGAAAGACAGGCCUUGAUCUCGCCCGUGCUGUAAGGAACCGUAUUGAAUUACACAGCAUAUUGAUGAAGAUGUAGGAAAAACUUACCUGGAUAUGGUCACCAGGGUGUUAUGCAUGAAACCAAUUCCCUUAACACGAUUGUCGUGCAUCUUUAUCAUCUUGGACUGUGGAAAGAACAAAGGGGAAUCAUCAUAUGUGGCAUAGCCAUGCAAUG
rnacentral:sRNA from 1 species